rnacentral:lncRNA from 1 species
CUAGAAGCAUUUUUAUUUUAUUUUAUUUUUAAUUUUAUUGUAUCUUUUAUUUAAUUAAUUUUUUGUAUUUAUUUAUGUUUUAUUACUGGAGACUUUGGGUUUGGUGUUCUGGCGAAGUGACCAGAAAUUCAGGCGCAAGAAAAGAUGCUGGGGAAGUCUAGAAAAAUAAAUAAGCUUUCAUUGCUUUCAAACAUUUGAUUAUUUUCAGUGAAUCAAUAAACAUCUCAUAUGAGUAGCUUUAGGACAUGCCCAUUAAUUUGGUGGCUCCAAAUCACAGUGUAUCAGUUCAGUUCAAUAAUUUUACUUCUCAAAUUCUAUUACCUGGCCAAAGUAUUUGUUCUUGGUAGCUAGAAUUUGACUGAUCAAACAAUGAGGUGUACCUUUACCAUUUUUUAACUUUGGAAAUAAUCACAAGUGGGGAGGAGCCAGGCCCUUCCAUUAUUCAUACAGGGGACCACUGGUGGGGGCAAGCCUAGUAAGAACAAAAGGGAACUUCUAAAUCAGUGCCAGCAGAGGCCUUUUAAGGUCACACCAAUGGGCCAAGCGCCCCCCACACCCCCACACCAC